rnacentral:rRNA from 1 species
UGGCGGCGUGCUUAACACAUGCAAGUCGAACGAACCUUCGGGUUAGUGGCGGACGGGUGAGUAACGCGUGAGAAUCUGCCCUCAGGAGGGGGACAACAGCUGGAAACGGCUGCUAAUACCCCAUAUGCCGCGAGGUGAAAUGAAUUUCGCCUGAGGAUGAGCUCGCGUCUGAUUAGCUAGUUGGUGUAGGUAAUGGCUCACCAAGGCAUCGAUCAGUAGCUGGUCUGAGAGGAUGAUCAGCCACACUGGGACUGAGACACGGCCCAGACUCCUACGGGAGGCAGCAGUGGGGAAUUUUCCGCAAUGGGCGAAAGCCUGACGGAGCAACGCCGCGUGAGGGAUGAAGGCCUCUGGGCUGUAAACCUCUUUUAUCAAGGAAGAAGAUCUGACGGUACUUGAUGAAUAAGCCACGGCUAAUUCCGUGCCAGCAGCCGCGGUAAUACGGGAGUGGCAAGCGUUAUCCGGAAUUAUUGGGCGUAAAGCGUCCGCAGGCGGCCCUUCAAGUCUGCUGUUAAAAAGUGGAGCUUAACUCCAUCAUGGCAGUGGAAACUGUUGGGCUUGAGUGUGG